rnacentral:rRNA from 1 species
AUGGAUAUUAAGACAAAAUUGUUAUUUUGGAACAUGUGCGGCCUUAAUUGUGGUUCUAGGCGUGAUGCAGUUCACUCUAUCAUUUCUGCUUCCAACACCUCAGUGGUUUGCCUCCAGGAAACCAAGCUCGAACUCAUCUCCCCAGCGAUCGUCUGUGAAACUCUUGGACCGGCUUACCACGACUUGUUCUUCCUCCCCGUAGUUGGCACGCGCGGCGGAAUCCUUCUCGCCUGGCAAAACCAAGACAUGGCCGUUUCCAACCCCAUCCUUGGCCGCCACCACAUCAUGGCGCUGGUCUCAUUGCCGGACGGGGACCAUCCCUGGUGGAUUACUAGGGUAUACGCCCCCAGCAGGAUGACGAGAAGAUCAAUUUCCUGCCUGAUCUGCAUGAGGAGCAAGCCUCCCGCAUCGGCCCUUGGCUCCUGGGCGAGGACUUCAACACUAUUUUGUCUGCUGCCGACAAGAAUAAUGACCGUCUGA